GCGCGCCGUUGAGGAGCGCGUGUCGUCACCUGCGCCGGCGAGCCGGGGGCUUAUUUCCAAGGCUGUUGCCCCCAUCGCCUUCCUACCCGGAAGCGCCGCGCUCCCCCACCAUCCCCGAGGGCUACUCUGGGGUGUCGGCUCGGUUCAGGGCGCACGACCCCAGACCACUACCCCGGCCGGGUCUUGCGCACCUGCGCCCCGUCCCGUCCCUCUGCCCGGGAGCCCUGGACCCGCGGCGCGAGCAGACGGGGUUGUUGGGCCAGACAAUGAGGAGGGGAGGAGCGCUGGGAUACCCGAAAGGGAACGGGUGGGGCGGAAAAUCAGCCUCCCUCCCGGACGUCCCAGCCCACCCGGUGCCUGCUAAAUGCCUGGCACUGAACUCAACUUUUAAAAAAGUUAAUUGCCUGCGCCAACUUGCAAGGAGGGUGCAGCUCACAGUGGCCCAUGUGGGGAUUGAACUAGCAACUUUGGUGUUAUCAGCACCACGCUCCAACCAACCGAGACAACCCGCCACCCUGUUGCACGACUAUUAAAGCGGCAAGCUUUUGCAUCAUGACCUGCACCCCCAAAGCAAUUCAACCUUCAAUCAGUCAUUCAUUCACUCAUUUUAAAUGAACAAUUUCAUUCACCCGUUAACUCAAGAGUAUGCCAAGCUCCCCUGAUAGAGAUCAGCUGACUUACAGAGGGACCUUUCUGAUUACAUCAGGACCACCCGGAUAAGCCACGCCAACCUCCCCAUCUCGAGAUCCUUCUCAAGUUCAUACCUCACCUUUUUGCCAGAUGGGGCUGGCUCACUCCAGGACACACAUCCAGGAAGCAGCAGAGCUGGACAUGAAGCCUGAAACCAGCCUCCCACACCAGGGUUCUAAUCAUUAGCCAAGAGGCCAUUCCUCUCGUGCCCCUCCCCCGUUCUCCCCGUUCUCCUCCCUGCAUGUGGGUAUGUCUUCUCAACCGGUUAUAAAUUCCUCUGGAGGUAGAGCCUAUAUCUUAAUCCCCUGCGCAUCCCUCCAGAGAAUUCAGCAUUUUGCUUUGCACGUAGUGUAGUAAGAUCUUCACAAAUUGGUUAAAUGAAUGAAAUAACUUCUCACUCUUCUGCAGUAUCUUGAGCGUUUGAGAAGAUUAUGGAGAGGUGGAAAGAGUGUGGGCUGUGAGGUCAGACAGACCUGGAUUGGAAUUUCAGCUCCACGACUUAAUGUUGGUAUAAUCUUUACCUCGAUGUCCUCAUCUGUAAAAUGGGUUAACACUAACCCCACCCCCCAGGACUUGGAGGAAGGUGAAAAUGAGUUAGGGCCUGUAAAAACUUCCCCCUUAGCAAGAUGUGGUAGGCAGAAAAAUGGCCCCCCAAAGAUGGUCAUGUCCUAAUCCCUGAAACCUGUGAAUAGUUAGGUCUCUGGUUAAAGAGGGAUUCAAGUUGCAGAUGGGAUUAAGGUUGUUUAUUAGUUUAUAGGGAGAUUAGCAUGGUGACUGUAGUUAACAAUACUGUAUCAUAAAUUGGAAAGUGACAGAGAGUAGAUCUUAAAAGUUCUCAUCACAAGAAAAAAAUGUAACUGUGAGGUGAUGGGUGUUAACUAGAUUUAUGGGCCUCAUUUUGCAAUAUACAUAAAUCAUGUUAUAUACCUAAAACUAAUACAAUAUUAUAUGUCAAUUAUAUCUCAAUUAAAAUAAUAGGGAGAUUAUACUGGAUUACUUGGGUGGGCCCAACGUAAUCACAAGGAUCCUUAAAUGGGGAAAAGGGAGGCAGAAGAAAAGUCAGAGGGAGAUGUGACUAUGGAAUGAUCAGAGAGGGACAACGUUGUCACCUUUGAAAAUGGAGGAAGGGGCCAUAAACCAAUGAAUGUGGGCUGCCUCUAGAAGCUGGAAAAGGACAAAGAAAUGGAUUUCCCCAGAGCCUCUGAGCGCAGCCCUAACACCCUGACUUUAACCCAGUGAAACCUGUGUUGAACUUCAGAACUGCAGAACUGUAAGAUAAUAAA